rnacentral:misc_RNA from 1 species
GAAAUGCGAUAAGUAAUGUGAAUUGCAGAAUUCAGUGAAUCAUCGAAUCUUUGAACGCACCUUGCGCUCCUUGGUAUUCCUUGGAGCAUGCCUGUUUGAGUAUCAUGAAAUCUUCAAAGUAAAUCUUUUGUUAACUCAAUUGGUUUCUACUUUGGUAUUGAGGUCUUUGCAGCUUCACACCUGCUACUCUUUGUUCAUUAGCUGGAUCUAAGUGUUAUGCUUGGUUCCACUCGGCGUGAUAAGUUAUCUAUCGCUGAGGACACUGUAAAAGGUGGCCAAGGUAAAUGCAGAUGAACCGCUUCUAAUAGUCCAUUGACUUGGACAAUACUUUUAUGAUCUGAUCUCAAAUCAGGUAGGACUACCCGCUGAACAUAAGC